AGUGAACGCUGGCGGUAGGCCUAACACAUGCAAGUCGAACGGCAGCACAGUAAGAGCUUGCUCUUACGGGUGGCGAGUGGCGGACGGGUGAGGAAUACAUCGGAAUCUACUUUUUCGUGGGGGAUAACGUAGGGGAAAUUACGCUAAUACCGCAUACCACCUUCGGGUGAAAGCAGGGGAUAUUCGGACCUUGCGCGGUUGAAUGAGCCGAUGUCGGAUUAGCUAGUUGGCGGGGUAAAGGCCCACCAAGGCGACGAUCCGUAGCUGGUCUGAGAGGAUGAUCAGCCACACUGGAACUGAGACACGGUCCAGACUCCUACGGGAGGCAGCAGUGGGGAAUAUUGGACAAUGGGCGCAAGCCUGAUCCAGCCAUACCGCGUGGGUGAAGAAGGCCUUCGGGUUGUAAAGCCCUUUUGUUGGGAAAGAAAAGCAGCAGGUUAAUACCCCGCUGUUCUGACGGUACCCAAAGAAUAAGCACCGGCUAACUUCGUG
rnacentral:rRNA from 1 species